CAUUUUAACAAUAUUCUUCCAAUCCAUGAACAUGGAAUGUUUUUCCAUUCUUUGUGUGUUCUUCAAUUUUCUUCAUAAGUUUUCUAUAGUUUUCAGCAUGUGGAUCUUUCACAUCUUUGGUUAGGUUUAUUUCUAGGUUUUUUAUGGUUCUUCGUACAAUUGUAAAUGGGAUCGACUUCUUGAUUUCUCUUUCUGUUGCUUCAUUGUUGGUAUAUAGAAAUGCAACCAACUUCUGUACACUGAUUUUGUAUCCUGCAACUUUGCUGAAUUCAUGUAUCAGUUCUAGCAGCCUUUUUGGUGGAGUCUUGCAGGUUUUUCAUGUAGAGUAUCCUGUCAUCUGCGAAAAGUGAAAGUUCGACUUCUUCUUUGUCAAUUUUGAUGCCAUUUAUUUCAUUUUGUUGUCUGAUUGCUGACGCUAGGACUUCCAACACUAUGUUAAGCAACAGUGGUGACAGUGGACAUCCCUGUCAUGUUCCUGAUCUCAGGGGGAAAGCUCUCAGUUUUUCCCCAUUGAGGAUGAUAUUAGCUGUGGGCUUUUCAUAUAUGGCUUUUAUGUUGUUAAGUGUGAUGUAUCACAUUGGUUGAUUUGCAAAUAUUGAACCAGCCCUGCAGCCCAGAAAUGAAUCCCACUUGAUCACGGUGAAUAUUUCUUUUUAUAUGCUGUUGAAUUCAAUUUACUAGUACCUUGUUGAUAAUUUUUGCAUCUGUGUUCAUCAGGGAUAUUGGCCUGUAAUUCUCCUUUUUUGUGGGAUCUCUGUCUAGUUUGGGAAUCAAAGUAAUGCUGGUUUAACUUUCCAUAUUUUAAAGACA